GACCGUUGUACAACCGUUGUAUUCUUCUUCCCCAUAACUCACCCGUUCUCUUUUUUCUCCAUAACCAUUCCUCUUCUUCUCCAUAACCAUUUUUCUUCUUCACACCAAAAUCUUCAUUCAUCCUCCUUCUUCACUCCAUUUUUACUCGAUUCAAACCCAUAAAAACUCAAUUUUUACGGAUUCUCUUCCAUUCAAACCCUUUUCACUCGAUUCAAACCCUUUUCCGUACUAUUUUGUUAUGGAUGGCUUGACCUAGUGAUUCUUCAGCUUCAUCUUCUCCUGGAAAACGAAAAGGUAAUGUUCUAUGUUAUUGUGGAGUUGAUUCUCCGUCGUUAACUUUAUGGACAGAUGAUAAUCAUGGGAGAAGAUUUUUUAGGUCUGGAAAAUACAAUGGGUAUUUAAGAAAAUGUAAAAAUUUUAAUUUUAAUAAUAAGUGCUGGUAAAAUUUUAAUUUUAAUAAUAUCCACCGUGGCAAAAAAAAAAAAAAAAGCGACAUGUCAUCUUUGACCGAGUCAAAAUCAAGGAGAUCAUGGUUUUGUAAAGGGGUUAAAAUUUGGGAGGCCAAAAGUGCUAUUUCUAAAACAGGGGGAUCAAAAUCGCAACUUUGAAAACUUGGGGGCCAAAAGUGUAUUUUAGCCUAUUAUUUUCAUUUCACUUUUAUAUUUAUUUUUCUCAAUUAUAAAAUUGUAAUAUGAUAUCAGAGUCUAUUCUUUCCGGUCAUCCAUCAUAUAUAUACACGUACCAGACCAAUAGUGUUGGACAUGAGGAAGUGCAUUGGAAAAAACAAAAUCCCAC
rnacentral:lncRNA from 1 species